UAAUUACUCCCUCCGUCCGACAAUACUUGUCACCAAAAUGAAUAAAAAGAGAUGUAUCUAGAACUAAAAUACGUCUAGAUACAUCCCCUUUCAUCCAUUUUGAUGACAAGUAUUUCCGGACGGAGGGAGUAUAUC
rnacentral:pre_miRNA from 1 species